rnacentral:lncRNA from 13 species
GUUUCUUAGACUGUGGCUGGGGUGGGCGAAUCACUGAAUCAGAGUGGGCAAAUCAUUCUUAGGAAAAAAAAUAGCACUCUUUCUGUUCUAUGCGUUAUGAUUUAGAAGACUCUGAAGAACCCUUGUCAUGACGCACUCUCUAAAACCCUCUUUAAAAUUCAGCUGGAAAGGCCCAGGGAAAAGAUAUACAGGCCUUUAUAGAGAGCAGAAGAGCCAGAGACAUUCACCAGGACGGUGCCAGAGGGAAUGCUCCAUGCAAAUGUGUUUAAAGUCCCAGCCCAGCCAUCCAAGGACACCCAAGGCCACACAACUCGAAAGGGACUGAGCCAGGAAUUUAACCCAGGGAGUCUGGCUAUGAACUCUACCAUGCUGUGUCUCUAAUAAUCACAGAUAAUGUACUCAUUAAAAUCAUAUAAAUGAUAGCAAUAUGCUUAUUAAGCACCUACAUGUGCCUGGCACCGUGCUACUUUCACUGACAUUCGUCCCUUCUGGUAAUCCUUACAACAACCCUAUAAAGCAAAGAUGAUGAUGAUAUUUGUUUUACAGGUGAGGAAAGCAAGGCACUGAAUGGUUGAAUAAUGUAUUGGUUUGCUCUCUGCUAAUAAAUACAUUCCUAAGACUGAGUAAUUUAUAAAG